rnacentral:rRNA from 1 species
AAAACCAGCACCUCAAGUGGUCAGGAUGAUUAUUGGGCCUAAAGCAUCCGUAGCCGGCUCUGUUAGUUUUCGGUUAAAUCCAUAUGCUCAACAUAUGGGCCGCCGGGAAUACUACAAAGCUAGGGAGUGGGAGAGGUAGACGGUACUCCGUAGGAAGGGGUAAAAUCCUUUGAUCUAUGGAUGACCACCAGUGGCGAAGGCGGUCUACCAGAACACGUUCGACGGUGAGGGAUGAAAGCUGGGGGAGCAAACCGGAUUAGAUACCCGGGUAGUCCCGGCUGUAAACUAUGCAAACUCAGUGAUGCAUUGGCUUGUGGCCAGUGCAGUGCCGCAGAGAAGUCGUUAAGUUUGCCGCCUGGGAAGUACGUACGCAAGUAUGAAACUUAAAGGAAUUGGCGGGGGAGCACCACAAGGGGUGAAGCCUGCGGUUCAAUUGGAGUCAACGCCAGAAAUCUUACCCGGAGAGACAGCAGGAUGAAGGUCAAGCUGAAGACUUUACCAGACAAGCUGAGAAGUGGUGCAUGGCCGUCGCCAGCUCGUGCCGUGAGGUGUCCUGUUAAGUCAGGUAACGAGCGAGAUCCUUGCCUCUAGUUGCCACCAUUACUCUCAGGAGUAGUGGGGCGAAUUAGCGGGACUGCCGUAGUUAAUACGGAGGAAGGAGAGGGCCACGGCAGGUCAGUAUGCCCUGAAACUCUGGGGCCACACGCGGGCUGCAAUGGUAGUGACAAUGUGUUCCGAAUCCGAAAGGAGGAGGUAAGCCUCAAACGCUACCACAGUUAUGACUGAGGGCUGCAACUCGCCCUCACGAAUAUGGAAUCCCUAGUAACUGCGUGUCAUUAUCGCGCGGUGAAUACGUCCCUGCUCCUUGCACACACCGCCCGUC